AGAGUAAGAGUCCAUUCGUAAAGUGCCGGCGGGACGGGGAGUUGCCUGCCGGACGAAAAACUUUUGUUUGCGGUUUGGGCUCUGCAUCCCGCU
rnacentral:ncRNA from 1 species